GGAGUUUCUGUGUGUAAUCAGAGCUUGUUCUUUGGUCGUAUAAACUUUGAUUUCAGUGGCACUUGUGUGAGAUUAUUUUUUUCCUCCCAUUUGUUACAUAAAACAAAGGAACUUGAAAUUCUAGGCAAAACUGUUGCUGGGCCUGUCCAAUACUCUGCAUGUUAUGAACAGGACAUCAGGCUGGGAAGAAGAUACAGUCAUUUAGGACAGAGGUCCAUAAGCUUCUGUCACCUCUUCUACUACAGAAAAGCACUGAUGAGAGCCAGGUUGAACAGC